GGCGCGAUCGCCCAAUGGUAAGGCAGGAGUUUCAUAAACUUACGAUUCCCGGUUCGAAUCCGGGUCGCGCCU
rnacentral:tRNA from 1 species